UACGAAGGGGGCUAGCGUUGUUCGGAUUUACUGGGCGUAAAGCGCACGUAGGCGGAUCGUUAAGUCGGGGGUGAAAUCCUGGAGCUCAACUCCAGAACUGCCUUCGAUACUGGCGAUCUUGAGUCCGGAAGAGGUGAGUGGAACUCCUAGUGUAGAGGUGGAAUUCGUAGAUAUUAGGAAGAACACCAGUGGCGAAAGGCGGUGCU
rnacentral:rRNA from 1 species